GACAGAGGGUGCAAACGUUGUUCGGAAUUACUGGGCGUAGAGCGCGUGUAGGCGGCUUGGCAAGUCGGGUGUGAAAGCCCCGGGCUCAACCUGGGAAGUGCACUCGAAACUGCUUGGCUUGAGUACUGGAGAGGGAAGCGGAAUUCUCGGUGUAGAGGUGAAAUUCGUAGAUAUCGAGAGGAACACCGGUGGCGAAGGCGGCUUCCUGGACAGUUACUGACGCUGAGACGCGAAAGCGUGGGGAGCAAACAGG
rnacentral:rRNA from 1 species